rnacentral:rRNA from 1 species
GAUGAACGCUGGCGGUCUGCUUAACACAUGCAAGUCGAACGGAACCCUUCGGGGUUUAGUGGCGGACAGGUGAGUAACGCGUGAGAAUCUGCCUUUUGGACGGGGACAACAGUUGGAAACGACUGCUAAGACCCGAUGUGCCUUGGGGUGAAAUAUUUAUAGCCAAGAGAUGAGCUCGCGUCUGAUUAGCUAGUUGGUGAGGUAACGGCUCACCAAGGCGACGAUCAGUAGCUGGUCUGAGAGGAUGAUCAGCCACACUGGGACUGAGACACGGCCCAGACUCCUACGGGAGGCAGCAGUGGGGAAUUUUCCGCAAUGGGCGCAAGCCUGACGGAGCAAGACCGCGUGGGGGAGGAAGGUCUGUGGAUUGUAAACCCCUUUUGUCAAGGAAGAACACAAUGACGGUACUUGACGAAUCAGCAUCGGCUAACUCCGUGCCAGCAGCCGCGGUAAUACGGAGGAUGCAAGCGUUAUCCGGAUUUAUUGGGCGUAAAGCGUCCGCAGGUGGCUCAUCAAGUCUGCUGUCAAAGCGCGAGGCUUAACUUCGUAACGGCAGUGGAAACUGAUAGGCUUGAGAAUGAUAGGGGCAGAGGGAAUCCCAGUGUAGCGGUGAAAUGCGUAGAGAUUGGGAGAACACCGGUGGCGAAAGCGCUCUGCUGGGUCAUAUCUGACACUGAGGGACGAAAGCUAGGGGAGCGAAAGGGAUUAGAUACCCCUGUAGUCCUAGCCGUAAACGAUGGACACUAGGCGUUGACCG